rnacentral:lncRNA from 1 species
AAUGCUCAAGUCACAUUCAUGUUCAAGUCAAUAUACAAUAUAAUUGUCAAAAAUAGUUGGUCUUCUUUGCCUUUCAGACCUUCUUAAUGUUUUUUGUUGUGGUUCUUCCAUCACUUGAUCAAUAAUGAUUUCAUUAAUUGGCUCAUUAAGUAUUUGAUCAUCCUGUGGGCUUUGGAUAUUAUCUUGUUGUCUCUCUAUGUUAUUUGACGGUAAUAUAACCAAAGGAACAAAAACAUGAGGAGACAUCUUCAAUGAAGAAGAUUUAUCAGAAGUCUCCAUAAUAUCCACCUUUCGUGAUUUAUGACUCCCACGGGUUUGACCAUUCUCAAUGAACCUAGCAUUUCCAAACUCAACUAUUCUCGUACCAUUGUUAGGACAAUAAAAUAUGUACCCUUUUGACUUUUCCGAAUAACCGAUAAAGAAACCACUAUGGUUCUUGCAUCAAGCUUCUUUUCAUGUGGGUUGUACACUUCUAAUUCUGUUGGACAACCCCAAACAUGGAGAUGUCUCAAACUGAGUUUCCUAUCAGUCCAUAACUCAUAGGGAGUUUUAGGAACUUCCUUACUAGGAACCAUAUUUAGCAGAUAUACAAUAGUCCUUAAUACGUACAUCAGAAUGAUAAAGGCACAUCACAAUGACUUAACAUUGACCUAACCAUUUCCAUUAGUGUAUGAUGCCGCCUUUUAGCCACACCAUUUUGUUGCGAUGUGUAAGGCAUAGUGUAUUGAGCACAUAUGCCUCGAUUUUUGAGAAACUUUGCAAAUGGUCCUGGACAUUGUCCAUUAUCAUUAUACUUUCCAUGAUAUUCACCACCUCUAUUAGACCUCACAACCUUAACCUUCUUUUCAAGUUGCCUUUUAACCUCAUCAAUGAAUACCUUUAGGAAAUCCAAUGAUUGAGAUUUUCAUGCAACAAAUAUAGGUAACAAUAAUGUGAGUAAUCGUCUAUAAAAGUGAUGAAAUACUUUUCACCAACCCAAGAUGGAACAUCAAAAGGACCACAUAUAUCAUGUGUAUCAAUUCAAGAAGUUUGCUACUUCUUGUGGUUGGGUUCUUUGAUAUGUGUUUAGUUUAUUUUCCUUUAAUACAAUUUAAACAUACAUCCGAAUCACCAAAAUCCAAUAUAUGUAAAAUUUCACUUUUUGUUAAUCUCAUUAUCUUUUCUUUGGAUAUAUGGCAUAAUCUUUGAUGCCACAAGUAAGCAGAAUUCUUAUCAAAAUCUUUAAGUUUGCUACCAACAUCAUAUUAAACAUUAAAUAAAGAUUUGUUAAAUUUAAAAUCAAGAUUGAAGCAAUAUAAACCAUUCAGUAAUGUACCAGAACCUUUUAGGAUAAUCCUUCUUAUAGUUCUCAUUCUUCUUACAAAAGAAGCACUUCAUUUCUUUAUGGAUUUUCCCUUCUUUAAUGGAGAUAUUUUCCUUCCCCUUUCCUUUGUUCCUAUUGCUUGUCCUGAAUCUGCUGGUGCUACCUGGCUCCUGAAUGGACAAGUGAAUUGAGUCAUUCUUAAUUUUCUUUAACAUCCCCUGCUCCUGAACGAGUAUGACAUUUAGUUCCUGAAAUUUCAUUUCUCCUUUAUGGUGUUAUAGUUCACAUGGAAUUGUCCAAACUCAACAAGAAGGGAGUUAAUGAUGAAUUAUACCAAGAAUGCUUCUGUCACCUCCAUCCCCAUGCCUUUCAUUUUUGCAACCAGAUUUGCCAUGCUAGUUACAUGAUCAUGAAUGGAUUGUGACCAGUUAAACUUCUUGGUUGUUAGCUUUGUCAUGAGAUUUUCCACCACAGACUUAUCAGUAAUAUCUGAUUGGGAGUACUCCUUGAUCAUUCUCAUAAAUUCUCUUGCAUUAUUCGUCUUAGGCAGAGACAACUUGACAUUGUAAGAGAUUGACAUUUUCAUCAAGCUAAGACUCAACCUGUAUGAUCGCUCCCAAGCCUCAUAUAGAGUCUUGUCUGCCUCUGAGCUGGUCUCAUUUAUGGUUGGUACAUUAUCCAUAAUGAUGGUCAAGUCCAACUCCAUAACACCUAGUGAGAACUGGAUAUGUUCGGACCAAUCAGCAUAGUUCAGUCCGUUGAACUUGACAUAUAUGUUACCUAAGACGAAUGCAUUGAGUGAAGCUGAAAUAAGACAUGCUCACACUUUAAUGCUUUGAAUAAACCAUUAUGGAUUCAAACUAAACUUUUAUUCAUGCACUUAAUUUAUCUUUGGAUAAAAUUUAAAUGCAUUAAACUUUUAUUAAUGAUGCCUAAUAUUAUUCCUCAAUGGAUAACUAAUCAUGCUAUUUAAACAUGCAUGUUAUCUUGGAUAAACGAGCACAAACAAGUAUCUUUAAAAACUUGUAAUGUCAUUAAAUACAUAUAGUGAUCCACCUUUGGGUGAUCAAAAUCUGUAUUAUAAUUAAUGAGCAAAACCAAUUAAGUAUCCUUACAACAUCAUAAUCUUAAUUAAAUACAAUGAUCCACCUUUGGAUGAUCAAAAUAUGCAUCAUAAUUAAUAAAUAAACACAAUAUAUUUUCCUUAUGACAUCAUAAUUUUUAAUUGUAAAAGUCAUGCAUAGUCUUUUAAUGCUUAUUAAUUGUCACAUUUCAAUAAAUGUGGCAAAUUUAUAAAAUUCUCCCUUUUUGCGACAGUUUAGAAAAUCAUGCAGCUCUGAAGCCAUUACUAUGAAAGUCUCGUCCACUCAUCUUAUAUACUUUAUGUCUAGCAUGAUAAAUAUGCAACAACUAAUUUUUAUACAUACAAGGUAGUUAAAAUCGAGAUUUUACUUAAGAUCUGGAGGGGAGUCAAAGAUCGUAAACGUAUGAUCGUAACAUGACUCGUAAGAUCCUACUUAUUAAUAUAAACAUAAAAACUCAUACAUUUAUAUACAUAUAUAAUAGGUUAAAUUAUUAAAUAAACCAAUAUUUAAAAGAAUAAGAUUAAGCUAGUAAAAAUAAUCAUAUAUUACAACCCAAUCCUUAUUUUUGAUAUGCUAGCUAAAUAAGAUAAAUUAGUAAAAAAAAACUAAUAUUUUAAAGAAUAAAACUAAGUUGGUAAAAAAACUCAUAUUACAUCUCAAUCCUUAUUUUUUGAUAUGUUAGAUUAAUAAGAUAAAUUAGCGAAAGAAUCAAUAUUUUAAAAAAUAAAAUUAAGAUUGUAAAAACGCUUAUAUUACAAUCAAAUCCUUAUUUUCUGAUAUGCUAGCUAAAUAGGAUAAAUUAGUAAAAUAACAAAUAUUUUAAAGAAUAAAACUAAGUUUGUAAAAAAAAACUCAUAUUACAUCCCAAUCCUUAUUUUUGGUAUGUUAGUUAAAUAAGAUAAAUUAAUAAAAGAAUCAAUAUUUUAACAAUAAAACUUAAAUUGUAAAAAAAGCUUAUAUUACAAUCCAAUCUUUUUUUUGUUUUGUUGAUAUAUUAGCUAAAUAUAAUAAAUCAGUAACAUAACAAAUAUUUUUUAAAGAAUAUAACUAAUAUUGUAAAAAAAGCCCAUAUCCAAGCCCAAUCCUUAUUUUUCCUUAGGAUUGCCAUUAGGGUUUCUAACUUUCAUUUUAGCCAUUUCUAUUUCUUCUUUCAUCUGAGACGGCUGCUCUGCUGGAUCUCAUGAUGAGAACAAGUUUUAUCUGUCUCCCCGCUCUUUGUCUUUGUGCUCUUUAGAUCUUGCUUCCUUUUCCUAUUUUCUAAUUUCUUCCUACAUCUUGUGAAUCAAUACACCUGGAUCGAGAGAGAACAAUUCACAACUACUUCAUUUAGUAAUAAUAAGUCUUUGGUUUCAUUUUAAUGUACUCAUAAUUCAAUUUCAGGAACACAAAGAAUGUCAUAAUGUCCUUAACCUGAUGUUCUGAUACCAUUUGUUAGACUUUUAUGAGCUUUUAAUGGUUCAUAAGAACCCGUUAAUUUAGGACCCUAACAUUAUGACAUUCACAUGUCAUAAAAUAAUAGAGUAAAGAAUAUCGGGUUCCAUUUGCAUUUCCCUUUAUGUACUUUUUAGUUGCCUUUCUGGUUGUCUUUGUUCUCACCUCUCUGCCUUCCCUUUAUGCUUUCCUUGAUGAUUAGAAACUCAAUUACAUUCCUUCUCUAUAUGGCACUACAUUUUAUCAACCACUAGUGCUUCUAUAAUUCUUAUUUUGUAUUUCUAUUCAUGAGAUAGCAAAUAAUGGAUGGAAUAUGAUGUUUUUCUAAUGCAUGAAUGUCUCUAUUUAUAGAAGGGUUUAGGAGGUGUUACUGGAGAAAGUAACUCCUUCACUUUCACGGAAACUACGCUUGAAGUGUGAGGGGAGUUAACAACACCCCACUAGUUUGAUCCAUCAAUUGUCAACUAUCAUCAUAUUAGACAUUUUCAUUCAAACUAGUAACUUUUAAAGACAUGUACCACUAAUUAGAAUUAAUGUAACAUUAUCUUCUACCAAUUGUAAAAUUGAUACCAGCAUAUUCAAGUUUACAAGAGGAAGAUUAGCUCACAUUUGUAUUGAGAAUGAUCUUAAUGAGCUAGUGAUAGGAAAAGUUUGUGUCCAAGGUCAUUGGGACAAAGUUUAGUAUGAGGGUCUCAAUGUGAUAUGUAGUUUUUGCGGUUGUUACGGGCAUGUAACCCAUAAUUGCACUGUGCCAAAAGUCAGUCUCAACAUUCCAAAUAUCAUGAUGCAGUUGACACUAGAAGAUGCUCAGGCAACCAACUUUGAUGGACCUCCGACCAAUAGAGCUAACAUUGUUUUUAAAAACGGACAAAAUGGUAAUGUGCAGUUAAUGGUUGAGAAUUCUAAAGUAACUAAAAUUCCUCACAUUUAUGGUGAUUAACUAGUUGUAACUAUGAAAAAAGGAAUGGAAAAAUGAAAAAAAAAAAACCCGGUGGAUUCAAGGGAAAUAACCAUAAUGGAAAUAAUGGCAACCAUUUUGAUAUUCUAGCCUAUAAAAUUGUUGAUUUAGACCAGCAUGCAUGUGUAACACUUGAGGUGGGAAGGCCACAUGUGGGUCAAGUUUCAAAUAAUAGCAAAACAUGGUAUAGAAAGAAAAGGCAAAAACUGGAUUCAAUGCAUGUGACUUAUGCUCGUUCAAACGGUCAACAAUUUAUAGCAAGCAAAAUGGUGGGCUCGUGAAUGGUGGUUUGCACUUUGAAAGUGUGUUACGUGGUUAUGAAGAAAGUUAUGGAAAUAGAAUGAGCCAAGAAAAGAAUAACAUGGCAGAAGAGAAGAAAACUUUAUUACAUAAUCUAUCUCAUCAUCAUAGUAAUAAAGUCACAAAAAGAAGUCUAUAAAAAUUAUUCCCUCUUUAUCCCACCACAAUUUGUAUGGUGAACGCAGAGAAGGUGGGACCCAUGUGCUUUUGCAAAAUUGCAUAGUGAAAAUGAAGAAGUUUGUUUAAUUUAAAGAUAUAUUUUUUAACCAAUACAAGUCUCAUCCCAUAAUAACUUAAGGUUCAUGCAUGAGGAGGAAUCACGACAUGUACCAACUAUUAACAUCAAGCAUGACACUGAAAUGUGUGGUAAUGGCGUCCAACUUAUUUUGGCAAAGGAUGAUGCUGCUAUGCAGAAUUUGGUCCAACUGCAGGAACCUAUUGAUACCACAAUGGAAGGUCAAUAAUGUUGGUAUUCAAGACUAUCUUAUUUUUUAUUUUAUGAUUGAGUUCAAAGAUUUUUGUAUUAUUUCAUGGAAUGUUCGUGACGCUACAAAUAAGAAUGGACUGCAUCAUACUAAAGAUUUGGCUAGAAAAUAUAAGCUAGGGACCAACUUAGCCUAUGCCUUGCUGAUCAAGGCUAUGUUCAGCCUAUUGUGGGCUAUCUCAAGUUGCUCACACGCCUAGCCUAGGUUGCAUGUUAACACCUCAUGCUUGGCUUGGUUGGCUUGUGUCAUACAUGACCUCACACCUAGUUAGCCCUUCCUUGGCUUCUAAGUAAGCUUAGCUCGUGCUUGGAACCGCCUACCUUGAGUUUCUUCAAUGGAAGGUUUCCUUUUAUCCAAAUCAAAUAUACUUAGUCACCAUCACGCUUAGUGCUUAGCAUUUUAUCAUUCUUUAUUCUAUGUUUGUAUUUUAUUGACUUAAAAUUUAGAGACUUGAAAAAAGGUGUAAUUAUAUACAAUUUAACUCUACAUACAUUUUAUUCAAAAGAUGUGUCAUAAAUUAAGUUUUAAGCAUGAUUAAUCAAGAUAAGUAUCAUAAUAAGUAUUGACAAUUAAGGUAAAUUUUCCUUAUAACCAACAGUUCCAACUCAAGGUUCCCCAAAAUUUUUUUUGAAGUAUCACCUUCCAUGUCACUUUUUUCUUCUUUUUUCACCCAUAGUCUUAAUGGUGCUCAAUCCUGCAUGCCUUACCAGUAAAGCAUUAAUACUUUAAUCUUAAUGAGAUUUGUAAUAUAUAAAAUGUUUCUUGUACAUCACAAUGAGACACUUUAGUGACAUUUUUCAGGUUUAUAGCACAAAAUGCCCUAUAAACCUGAAAAGUGUUAUCAUGUGGUGUAUAUAUCACAAUGUGGACAUGUUCAAAUGUCAAACCUUUCUUAAGUAUAUUGUAUGAAGGUCUUCAAACAACUGAACUCAAGCUCUCAAAUAGGACGAGGCCUUAAACCACAGUAUAAAAUUAACAUGUUAUGUAAAUAUGUAGCUAACAGUAUCUGCAUCAACAUUCAGUAUGCAUCAUGUUCUGCAUCUGAUGCCUCUUCAGAUUCAGUAUUCUCUAACUGUGUAGUCUGAUAUUAGGUUCUCUCAAAUUUAAAGUGUUUGCAUCAACAUGACCUCUCUUCACUAGUGGAAGCAGUUUGUGCAUCAAUAGCAACUUCUAAAUCAUCUUUGGCAACAUCAUUUUCAUCUGCAUCUACAUUCUUUGAAGAACUUAUAUAAUCUUCGUCCGAGAAAUUACAUGCAUAUGCGGAUUGGUUGAUUUGGUUCUCACAUAACUCCUAUUCGAUGAUAAGUGGUAACUACAGGCUCAUUAAGAUGCAAGCUUGUUUUCUCAAUCUCCAGCAGCUUUUGGAUGGUUUUAGUAGCAACAUCAUACCCAUUCAUCAUUAUCUAUAUCAAUGAAAAAUAACACACCAGAACACCAUAAGGAGAUAUCCCUCUAAAAUUAGUCAAUGCAAAUAGUUCAAAAUUGCAGUUAUCACCCAGUAAUUAAGGUGUGGUUCCAAAUUAAAAGAAAAGACCAUAACGAAAGUGAUUUGUAAUGCGUUGCGGCCACUGAGGACCAUGACAGUUUUCAAAAAUCAAAUUUGAGCCACAAACAAUUUCAUGUCACAGUGGCAGCAAUCCACAUUUUAGCCACCAGACUGCUUUGCCUACAAACGCAAUGGCUAAAACCAAGUCUGCAAUCGCAACAAUUGUAGUCUGAAGUUAUUUUGAACUUUUGGUUGCACAUCCAAAACAAACUGCUCGAGGUACACAAAAAAACGGAUAACAAUCACUUUACAUAAGAAAACUCAUGAAUACAGUUGCUUUGUUUUGCUUCAUAUCCUCAUACAAAUUCAGUUCUUACACUUGAAGUGACAAAGAAGAUUGUUGGAAAUAUUGAUGUCUGUUACAUAAAAGAAAUGUUAUUUUUUGUGGUAACUUAGAAACAAUUAGCUUGAGUUAUAUAGUCCACCAUUUUAUUGAAGGACUCGGCUACCAAUGGUAUGGGAUGCAAAUAGUAGGAAAAUAUCUGCUAUAACCAUUCCAUACAAUUUGUGGAAAACUAUUUGACUAGUAUAUAUUGCUAUGAAAUGUGCUUAUGAUAUGAAUAAUGGCAUCACAAUAACUAAGACAUGAAUAAACCAUGGCAAACAUUAAGCUACAUAAAUAUGGCAAUGGCAUAAAUUAUGUAAAUUAACUGUAAUGAUGUUUUUAAUCUCUCAACAUAGGUCCAAAAGAAUAAACAGAAGGGGCAGACCAAAAACCUGGUCUGUCUCAUCUGUUCGUAAGCUCAUAUUCUCUUCUGUAAUCUAUAGUUGCAUGAAUCACAUUGUUCUUGGAAACCCAAAUACACAUCUACUACAUCAGGUAUCUCAGCAACCCCAUCAACCAAUUCACUUCAAAUACAUUUUCUUCAUGAAGUUGUUCUAACUUCCUCAGUUCUAGAAAUAAAACCUGCCCAGGACAGAGAUUAAAGAUUUAGACCAAAUAUAAAAUAUUGCUAAAACAGAUAGCAUCAACUGUCCAAGGGGGUCAGCUUCCUCUGUAUAUCUCAUAAAAUUAAUUAUUAAGACUUUAGUAUAAAAAAACUUAUAAUAAAAACAUCAUAUUAUAAAUACACAUAUUAUAUACAUACAUACAUACAUAUAUAUAUAUAUANNNNNNNNNNNNNNNNNNNNNNNNNNNNNNNNNNNNNNNNNNNNNNNNNNNNNNNNNNNNNNNNNNNNNNNNNNNNNNNNNNNNNNNNNNNNNNNNNNNNGGGGAGAAAAUUACAUUUAUUUUAAAGGGGAGUUGAGAGAAAUUUUAAAAAUGUUUUGGUAAUUUUUUAGCCCCUCCUCCCUUUUGGAGGGAAGGGAAACAAAAAUGAUUGGGAGAGAUUUUAAUGUGUUGGUUUAUGGUAUAUGUAUAAAUUUUAUAAUCAGGUGCAACUGUUUUGCCUAUUUUAAAUUUUUAUAUGCAUAAUAACAUUUGUUUAUCUAUGUAAUUACUUAUUACCUAGUCUUUCACUUGAAAGCAUUUGACAAAGAAGAAAAAGAAAUUCAAACAUGGGGUGUAAAAGUUUGAUGGAGAGUUGAUUCACAUAUACUUCAAAGAGACUUGAUAGAGAAUCUACAUCUCAAGAUUUGUCUCUAGUGAGUUUGAGGCAAUUGCUACUAUGCAUGUGUUCUUUAUCAGAACACAAGAGUACGGACAAUGAUGAGUCAGAUGUUGAUGAAGAGGUAGGAAGCGAUCGCCAGGGUGACUGAAGGCAGCAAAGAGUUGGACCCGUCGGUGGAGGUACCUGAAAAGGUUCUCCGACGAUCAAGUCAGUAUAUGAAGUAGAGAGUGAGUGACAAGAAGAAUAAUAUUAGAGAGUCUAGGAGUUGAGGUUAAGAUACUUCCUGUUGGUAGAUACUUCUAUUUAUAGGGGUGAGAGUUGACCUUGGGCUCUUGGCUGGUGGUGCGACGCGUGGCCGACCGAAGGUGCUGUCUGGAGAUGCUUUUCCCGUGUCAGGCGGCCUGUUGGGUCGUACACUGUGCCCUUCUUGUCUCUUAGCCUGCUCUGCAACCCGUCUGUUGCGCUGGCAGGUAGGUUGGUGGAGUACGGAAGGCAUGUUGUCUCCUGGGCCAACUUCGGUGGUCCCUACAAGUGGGGCCACCUCGGCGUCUAAACAUGACCUUUGGUUCGCCGGAUAGGAACAGCAUGUUUUUUUGUGUGACUCUGAAAAAGUAAGUACCAUAUAGUAGUAUAGUACUUACUAAAGCUACUUCUAUCUCUAAGGUUCUAAGGACGCAAUCUUAAAACUUAUUGAUGUUAGAGAGCCAUUGUUUUCACUGGGCUUCUCAUUUAAUGGCAUUGGCAGAAAGAAGAAAUAUAUAUUAGAUAGAUUAUAUGUAUUUUCAUUGUAAAAAUUUUAAUAGGAAAUUUUGUAAUAUCCUUACUGUUUAUUUUCUUUAUGAAUAGGUUUGGAUCAUGCAAAUGCAUCAUAUUCUUAAUAAUACAAAAGGGAAUGGAGUAUCUCCUUGUAUAAGGAGAUAAGUUAUCUCCUCAUACCAGUGAAUUGAUGACAUGUAUCAUGUUUCAUCAUUUUCUAUAAAAAUAUUUUUAAAAAUAAAACAAAAAUAACACACAUGUCACAUUUUUACUGGCUAGAGGAGAUAAGUUAUCUCCUGAUAUGAGGAGAUACAUUAUUCUCUUAUUUUAUUGUACUAUUAUUAUCUAGUGGCCGCAACAACUAUUAAAAAAAUAUUUAACAGUAAAAUGUAAUGACCCAUGAAUAGUGAAGAGAAUAAAAAAAAGUAAAGGAUAUUUUAGUAAAUACUUUGAAGGGAAAACGUUUUAGUUUUUUUUAAAUCAAUUUAAAUUUUAUAUUACAAUUAUACCUCUAGUAUUCCAAGUGUUAGUGUUUGAAGAUGUCUUUUAUGAUAAUAUCAUUGCCCCUUCUAUUCUUAUUAAAUAAAUAGUAGACAAAUGUUAUUUUUUUUUGCAAAGUUAAAAACACAUCUAUUACUUAUGGAGUUAUAUGGUUAAUAAUACACAUGUUACUUGUGACAUGUGUGUUAUUUUUUUUAUUUUUAAAAAUAUUUUUAUAGAAAAUGAUGAAACAUGACACAUGUCACGAUUUUACUGGUAGGAUGAGAUAAUUUAUCUCUUUAUACAAGGAGAUACUUCAUUCCCUUUUAUUAGAGAAUAAUGUAUCUCCUCAUAUCAGGAGAUAACUUAUCUCCUCUAGCCAGUAAAAAUGUGACAUGUGUGCUAUUUUUGUUUUAUUUUUAAAAAUAUUUUUAUAGAAAAUGAUGAAACAUGACACAUGUCAUCAAUUCACUGGUAUGAGGAGAUAACUUAUCUCCUUAUACAAGGAGAUACUCCAUUCCCAUAAAAUAAUGCUAUCUAUAGGCUCAUUUAUUGUUAAUAUAAGUGACAUUUACUAAAAUGGGUUUUGGCGUACAGUUGGUGUUAAGUUUUUGUUAGGGAUAUUUUUGUCCUUCAAAACUAUUGAAGGGUCACAUCUCCAUUUCAAAUUUCAAACAUCAAUUUUAAGUGAUCUCUUUUUUUGAUCUGUCCUACACUCAUCACUUUCUCCAUUUCUCUCUAUCACUCGUCCUUUUCUCUUUCAAAGUGCUAUUUUUUUCUUUCUCCUUCUAAAUGUAUGUUCUCUCCUUCACUCCUCAUCUUUUCACUAAGAAGAGACCAUUUUUUUCACAUUUGAAUGUUUUAUUUGUCCUUAUUUUCUGCAUUUUAUUCUCUCUAUGGUUUUACUCAUAUGUUUCUAAAAAGACAUGAUUUUGUGAGAUUUGAAUGUUUUAUGUAUUCUUACUUCAUGCAUUUUUUUUUAUUUUGUGUAUCUUGCUCUUCCUCCAUUCAUUUCUUCACCUACACUAGAUCAACUAACAUUUUUUUCAUUUCGAGAUCUACAAAUGCACAAAAUGGAUGAAAUAAUCGACAUGCAACAAUACAAAACAGAUGAAUAAAAACACAUAUGCAUGAAAUCAUAAUGGAGAAAUGAGAUCCUCUACUUCUAUUCUUCUCGAACGAAAUAUGCGAGUGGAAUCCAUAAAAAAAAGUGGGACAAGAACUUUGUGCCAAUAGAGUUUUUUCACCUAUUCUUCAACCAUUUUUCCCACAAUAAAAAAUAGUCAAUAUAUGUACUUCAAUAUGUGCUAAUAUGAAUAUGCUUUUUUUAAAUAUUUUUUAUACAUAUUGUUGUCAAUAUUUAUUUUUUUGCGUUGAAGUUUAUUUUUGGGUUUUGUACUUGUUAGACAUAGUUAGUUAGUCGGUUUCUAUAAUUGGCUAGUUUUUAAAAGUUAGUUUUGUUAGUUGAGUAUGAGCUUACUAUAAAUAGCUUGUGCAUCAUGAUUAGUUGAAUAGUCAAUAUAUGAAUCAUUGUUAAAUUCUUACAAUCAUUUUCUUCUCUCUAAUAUACUAUUUUCCUAAUUCUAAUCUUCUUCUCCUUAACUCAGCCUCACAGUUUCUCUCCAUUCUUCUUCUUAUUCCUCAAACUUCUUAUUCAAGGCAUGGAGAGAACUCAAGUUUCUCCAACAAAUUGGUAUCAAGAGCACAAGUGAGAUCCUAGGCACUCAACCCUCUCCAAUUUCCUUCUCUUUCUUUUCUUGAAUGGCGCACACAAGCACAAGCUUUCCAGCUAGCCUACAUGUCCUUAAUGACAAAAAUUGGAAUAUAUGGAGCAUUCAAAUAAGGUCAAUCAUGGGGUUUCAAGAAAUCUAAGAAAUUGUUGAGCUUCGUUACCCUCAACUUGAGGCAGAUUCAUCAGAAAAACAAAGAUUGGCACACAAGGAGAACAAAAGGAAGGAUUGCAAAGCCAUGUGCCUUCUUCAUCAGUAUGGUGAUGAAGCACACUUUGAGAAGGUUGCUUCAGCACAAUCUUCACAAGAGGCUUGGCAAAUUUUAGAGAAAUGUAACAAGGGAGCGGAACAAUUGAAGAAGAUUAGACUCCAAACCAUGAGGCACCAAUAUGAAUUGAUGCAGAUGGAGUUGAAUGAAAAGGUUGCCCAGUUCUUCAACAAGAUCAUUUGUCUUACAAACUAGAUGAAGGCUUGUGGUGAAGUUACAUUUGAUCAAGUAAUUGUUGAAAAGAUCUUGAGAACUCUUACCCAAAAUUUUGAUCAUAUAGUUGUUGCUAUUAAGAAUAAAAAAAAGACUUGAAGAUUUGAAGCUAGAAGAUCUUCAGGGCUCCCUCGAGGCUCAUGAGCAAAGACUCAUUGGGAGAUCAACUAAUAAAGCCAGACAAGCAUUGCAAGCUCAGACUUACAAGAAGGGAAUAUACUUUGGUAAGAAUGGUGAAAGAAACUGAGGUAGGGGAAAGACUACAGGGGGAAGAACUCUGACAGCUUUGGAUUUCAAGAUCAAGAAAGAACUGAUCUUGAUCAAGCAUCAACUUACUCAAAGAGAGGAAGUGGAAGCAGUUGGAGGGGAGGAAAGAAGAAAGUAGACAGAAAAAGAGUGAAGUGCUUCAAUUGCAGUAAAUUGGGCCACUUCUCUUCUGAGUGUCAAGCACAACCAAGAUAUUCUGAUACUCACAAUAGACAGCACCAUGAUGAAGCUCACAUGGUGAAGGAAGAUAAUAACUAUCUUGAUGAUGAUUCACCCAUCUUGUUAAUGAUGACAACAAGCCAAGGCAAUAGUAGUGAAGAAAUCUAGUAUGUGGACUCUAGGUACUCCAAUCACAUGACAGACCAUAAAUAAUGGCUUGUCAAUUUGAUGCUAGCAAGAAGAGCAAAGUAAGGUUUGCUGAUAACAGAAUUAUCCAAGCAGAAGGGAUUGGAGAUGUUGUGAUCAAAAGAAAAGAUGGUUGUAAUGCUUUGAUUUCUGAAGUGCUUUUUGUGCCAAACAUGAGUCACAACUUGAUCAGCCUUGGUCAACUAUUAGAAAAGGGGUUCUCUGUGAGUAUGCAGGAUGGUCAGCUUGAAAUCUUUGAUUCAACCAGGAAGAAGAUCAAAAGAGCACCUCUCUGAAAGUGCGCAUGUCAAGAUAGCACUUUAGAAAGCUCUCUCUAUGUGUUUAGUUUUGAUGAGGACAACUUGUGAUUAUGAAAGCUUGAAGAUCAUCAACAAAUCAGCAUGCUUAAGUCUCUAGAUUGGUAUUAGACUUAGACUAAUAGUUAGUUUAGGUUGAGUCUAAGGCUUAGGUAAACUCUAUGCAUGUCUAAUAUGCAUAAAACCUUAAAUCAUUUUAAGUUUUGAGAUAUGUCAUAUAUAAUAUGUUCAUGCAUCAUAUAAAUACAUGUAAUAUGUGCAUCCUAGGCAUAAACUUAGUAUUGAACAUGUAUAAAUUAAGUGCAUAACGUAUUUGAGUUUUAUAAAUUGAAAAUUCACUUAGAAAUAUGUUGUUAAUCGAUUAAGGCAUGAUUUAAUCGAUUNNNNNNNNNNNNNNNNNNNNNNNNNNNNNNNNNNNNNNNNNNNNNNNNNNNNNNNNNNNNNNNNNNNNNNNNNNNNNNNNNNNNNNNNNNNNNNNNNNNNUCAUCCUCAUCCUCAUCCUAAUUCUAAUCCUAAUCCUAAUCCUAAUCCUAAUCAUAAUCCAAAUCUUAACCCUAAUCCAAAUCCUCAUCCUCAUCCUCAUCCUAAUGCAAUUUCUAUUCCUAAUCCUAAUCCUAAUCCGACUCCUAGUCCUCAUUCUCAUCCUCAUCCUCAUCCAAAUCCUCAUGCUCAUGCUCAUCCUCAUCAUCAUCCUCAUCCUCAUCCUCAUCCUCAUCCUCAUCGUAGUGCUAGUCGUAAUCCUAAUCCUAAUCCUAGUCCACAUUCUCGUCCUCAUCCUAAUACUCGUUCUCAUCCUCACGCUCAUCCUCAUCCUCAUCCGCAUCCUAAUCCUAAUCCUAAUCCUAAUCCUAAUCCUAAUCCUAAUGCGAACUUAUUCCUAUUCCAAUUCAUAAUUCUAAUCCUCAUCUUCAUGCUCAUCCUAAUUCAAAUCCUAUCCUCAUCCUCAUCCUCAUCCUCAUCCUCAUCCUCAUCCUCAUCCUCAUCCUCAUCCGCAUCAUCAUCCUCAUCCUCAUUCUCAUCCUCAUCCUCAUCCUCAUCCUCAUCCUCAUCCUCAUCCUCAUCCUCAUCNNNNNNNNNNNNNNNNNNNNNNNNNNNNNNNNNNNNNNNNNNNNNNNNNNNNNNNNNNNNNNNNNNNNNNNNNNNNNNNNNNNNNNNNNNNNNNNNNNNNCCUCAUCCUCAUCCUCAUCCUCAUUCUCAUCCUCAUCCUCAUCCUCAUCCAAAUACACAUCCACAUCUUCAUGGUCAUGCUCAUCCUAAUCCUCACUCUUAUCCUCAUCCUCAUCCUCAUCCUCAUCCUCAUCCUCAUCCUCAUCCUCAUCUCCUAAUCCUAAUUCUAAUCCUAAUCCUCAUUCUUGUCCUCAUCCUAAUCCUCGUUCUCAUCCUCACGCUCAUCCUCACCCUUAUCCUCAUCCUCAUCCUCAUCCAUAUCCUAAUCCUAAUCCAAAUCCUAAUCCUAAUCCUAAUGCAAACUUAUUCCUAUUCCAAUUCAUAGUUCUAAUCCUCAUCUUCAUGCUCAACCUAAUGCAAAUCCUAUUCCUAAUCCUAAUCUUAUUCCUCAUUCUUAUCCUCAUCGUCAUCCUCAUCCUCAUCCUCAUCCUCAUCCUCAUCCUCAUCCUCAUCCUCAUCCUCAUCCUCAUCCACAUCCCCAUCCUCAUCGUCAUCCUCAUCCUCAUCCUCAUCAUCAUCGUCAUCGUCAUCGUCAUCCUCAUCAUCAUCCUAAUCCUAUUCCUAUUCCCAGUCAAUAUCCUUAUCCUCACCCUCAUCCUCCUGCUCAUCCUAAUCCGAAUCCUAAAAGUAAUCCUAAUCCUAAUCCUCAUCCUAAUCCUAAUCCUAAUCUGAACUUAUUUCUAUUCCUAUUCCUAGUUCUAAUACUCAUCCUCAUGCUCAUCCUAAUGCAAAUCCUCUUCCAAUUCCUAUUCCUCAUUCUCAUCCUCAUCUUCAUCCUUAUCCUCUUCCCCAUCCUCAUCCUAAUGUUAAUCCUAAUCCUAAUCCUCAUCCUAAUCCUAAUCCUAAUCCUAAUCUUCACGCUAAUCCUCAUGCUCAUGCUCAUCCUCAUCCUUAUCCUCAUUCGAAUGCAAUUCCUAUUCCUAAUCCUAAUUCUAAUCCUAAUCCUCAUUCUCAUCCUCAUCCUAAUCCUCAUCCUCAUACUCAUCCUGAUCCUGAUCCUCAUUGUAAUGCUAGUCCUAAUCCUAAUCCUAAUCCUCAUGCUCGUCCUCAUCCUCAUCCUCAUACUCAUCCUCUUCCUCAUCCUCAUCCUCAUCCUCAUCCUCUUCCUCAUCCUCAUCGCUAUCCUCAUCCUAAUCCUAAUCCUAAUCCUAAUCCUAAUCCUAAUCCUAAUCCUAAUCCUAGUCCUAGUCCUAGUCCUAGUCCUAAUCCUAAUCCUAAUCCUAACUCUGGUCCUAACCCUAAUCCUAAUCCUAACCCUAAUACUAAUCUUAAUCCUAAUCCCAAUCCUAAUCCUAAUCCUUUUCCUCAUUCUCAUCCUCUUCCUAAUUCUCAUCCUCGUCAUCAUCUUAAUAUUAAUCAUAAUCCUAAUCCUAAUCAUAAUCCUAUUCCUAAUCCUAUUCCUCAUUCUCAUCCUCAUCCUCCUAUCAUCUUCAUCGUAAUCCUAAUCCUAACCGUGAUCCCAAUCCUAAUCCUUUCCUAAUACUAUUCCUCAGUCUCAUCCUCAUCGUAAUUCUCAUCUUCAUCGUCAUCCUAAUAUUAAUCACAACCGUAAUCCUAAUCCAAAUCCUAAUCCUAAUCCUAAUCCUAACCCUAAUCCACAUCCCAAUCCACAUCCUAAUCCUAUUCCUCAUCCUAAUUCUCAUCCUCAUCGUCAUCUUAAUAUUAAUCAUAAACCUAAUCUUAAUCCUAAUCUUAUUCCUCAUUCUCAUCCUCAUCGUCUUGCUCAUCCUCAUCCUCAUCCUAAUCCUAACCCUAAUCCAAAUCCUAAUCAUCAUCCUUAUCGUAAUCCUAUUACUAAUCCUAUUUCUAUUCCUAUUCCUAGUCCUAAUCCUCAUCCUCAUCCUCAUUCUCAUUCUCAUCCUAAUCCUCAUCCUUAUCCUCAUGCAAAUCCUAUUAGGAAUCCUAAUCUUAAUCAUAAUCCUAAUCCUAGUCCUCAUCCUCCUACUCAUCCUCAUCCUAAUCCUAAUCCUAAAACUAAUCCUAAAACUAAUCCUAAUCCUAAUCCUCAUCCUAAUCCUAAUCCGAACAUAUUCCAAUUCCCAUUCCUAGUACUAAUCCUCAUCUUCAUCCUAAUGCAAAUUCUAUUCCUAAUCCUAAUCCUAAUCCUUAUCCGAAUCCUAAUUCUAAUUCUCAUCCUAAUUCUCAUUCUCAUCCUCAUCAUAAUCCUCAUUCUCAUCUUCAUCCUCAUCCUCAUCCUCAUCCACAUCCUCAUCCUAAUGCUAAUCUUAAUCCUAUUCCUAAUCCGAAUAAUAAUCCUAAUCAUAAUCCUAAUCCUAAUCCUAAUCCUCAUCCUCAGCUUAAUCCUCAUGCGCGUGCUCAUGCUCAUCCUCAUCCUCAUCCUAAUGCUAAUCCUAAUCCUCAUCCCAUUCAUAAUCCUAAUCCUAAUCCUCAUCCUCAUCCUCAACCUAAUGCAAUUCCUAUUCCUAUUCCUAAUCCGAAUCCUAAUCAUCAUUCUCAUCCUCAUCCUAAUCUUAGUACUAAUCCUAAUCCUAAUCAUAAUCAUAAUCCUGACCCAAAUCCUAAUCCGGAUCCAAAUCCUCAUCCUCAUCCUCAGCUUCAUCCUCAACCUGAACCUCAUCCUCAUCCUCAUCCUCAUCCUCACCCUCACCCUCAUCCUCAUCCUCAUCCUCAUCCUCAUCCUCAUCCUCAUCCUCAUCCUCAUCCUAAUCCUNNNNNNNNNNNNNNNNNNNNNNNNNNNNNNNNNNNNNNNNNNNNNNNNNNNNNNNNNNNNNNNNNNNNNNNNNNNNNNNNNNNNNNNNNNNNNNNNNNNNUAAUCCUCAUCCUCAUCCUCAUCCUAAUGCUAAUCCUAAUACUAAUCCCAACCCUAAUCCUAAUCCUAAUCCUCAUCCUCAUCCUCAUCCUAAUCCAAUUCCUAUUCCUAUUCCUAAUCCGAAUCCUAAUCAUCAUUUUCAUCCUCAUCCUCAUCCUAAUCCUCAUGCUCAUGCCCAUUCUCAUCCUCAUCCUCAUCCUAAUACUAAUCCUAAUCCUAAUCCUAAUCAUAAUCCUAACCCUAAUCCUAAUCUGAAUUCUAAUCCUCAUCCCCAUCCUCAUGCUAAUCGUCAUCCUCAUUCUCAUCCUCAUCCUCAUCCUCAUCCUCAUCCCCAUUCUCAACCCCAUCCUCAUCCCUAUUCUCAACCUCAUCCUCAUCCUAAUGCUAAUCCUAAUCCAAAUCAUAAUCCUAAUCCUAAUCCCAAUCCUAAUCCUAAUCCUAAUCUGAAUCCUCAUGCUCAUCCUCAUCCUAAUCCUCAUUCUCAUUCUCAUGUUCAUCCUCACCCUCAUCCUCAGCCUCAUCCUCAUCCUCAUCCUUAUCCUGAUCCUCGUCCUCAUCCUCUUCCGAAUCCAAAUCCUAAUCCUAAUCCUAAUCCUAAUCCUAAUCCUAAUCCUAAUCCUAAUCCUAAUCCUAAUCCUAGUCCUAAUCCUAAUCCUAAUUCUAAUCCUAAUCCUAAUCAUAGUCCUAAUCCUAAUCAUAAUCCUAAUCCUCAUCCUCAUCCUCAUCCUCAUCCUAAUCCUAAUCCUAACCCUAACCAUAACCCUAAUCUGAAUCCUAAUCCUAGUCCUAACUCUAAUCCUAACCCUAAUCCUAAUACUAAUCCUAAUCUAAGUGCUAGUCCUAACCCUCACCUUAAUCCUAAUCCUAAUCCUAAUCCUAAUCCUAAUCCUAAUCUUAUUCCUAAUCCUAAUCUUAAUCCUAUACCUCCUUCUCAUCCUCAUUCUCAUCCUAAUCCUCAUCCACAUCCUCACCCUAAUCAUCAUCCUCAUCCUAAUCCUCACCCUCAUCCUCAUCCUCGUCCUCAUCCGCAUCUUCAUUCUCAUCCUCAUAUUAAUCCUAAUCAUAAUCCUAAUCCAAAUCCUAAUCCUAAACCUAAUCCUAAUCCUAUUCCUCUUUCUCAUCCUCAUCCUCGUCCUCAUCCUAAUCCUCAUUCUCAUGCUCAUCCUCCUGCUCAUACUCAUCCUAACCCUAAUCCUAAUCCUAACUCUGGUCCUAACCUUAAUCCUAACCCUAAUACUAAUGUUAAUCCUAAUCCUAAUCCUAUUCCUCAUUCUCAUCCUCAUCCUAAUUCUCAUCCUCAUCAUCAUAUUAAUAUUAAUCAUAAUCCUAAUCCUAAUCCUAAUCCUAUUCCUUGUUCUCAUCCUCAACCUCAUCCUCUUGCUCAUCCUCAUCCUAAUCCUAAUCCUAACCUUAAUCCUAAUCCUCAUCCUCACCCUAAUCCUAAUCCUAAUCCUAACUCUAGUCCUAACCCUAAUCCUUACCCUAAUACUAUUCUUAAUGCUAACCCUAACCCUAACCCUAAUCCUAAUCCUAACUCUAGUCCUAACCAUAAUCCUUACCAAGUACUAUUCUUAAUCCUAAUCCUNNNNNNNNNNNNNNNNNNNNNNNNNNNNNNNNNNNNNNNNNNNNNNNNNNNNNNNNNNNNNNNNNNNNNNNNNNNNNNNNNNNNNNNNNNNNNNNNNNNNUCAUCCUCAUCCUCAUCCUCAUCCUCAUCCUCAUCCUCAUCCUCAUCCUCAUCCUCAUCCUCAUCCUCAUCCUCAUCCUCAUCCUCAACCUCAUCCUCAUCCUCAUCCUCAUCCUCAUCUUCAUCUUCAUCCUCAUCCUCAUCCUCAUCCUUAUUCUUAUCCUCCUCAUCCUCAUUCUCAUUCACAUCCUCAUCCUCAUCCUAAUGCAAAUCCUAUUCCUAAUCCUAAUACUAAUCAUAAUCCUAAUCCUCAUCCUCAUCCUAAUCCUAAUCCGAACUUAUUCCUAUUCCUAGAUCUAAUCCUCCACCUCAUCCCCAUUCUAAUGCAAAUCCUAUUCCUAAUCCUAAUCCUAAUCCUAAUCCUAAUCCGAAUCCUAAUCCACAUACUCAUCCUAAUCCUCAUCCUUAUCCUAAUCCUCAUCCUCAUCCUCAUCCUCAUCCUAAUCCUCAACCUAAUCCUCAUCCUCAUCCUAAUGCUCAUCCUCAUCCUCCUGCUCAUCCUCAUCCUAAUCUUAAUCCUAAAACUAAUCCUAAUCCGAAUCCUCAUCCUAAUCCUAAUCCGAACUUAUUCCUAUUCCUAGUUCUAAUCCUCAUCCUCAUCCUAAUGCAAAUCCUAUUCCUAAUCCUAAUCCUAAUGUGAAUCCUAAUAAUCAUUCCCAUCCACAUCAUCAUCCUAAUCCUCUUGCUCAUGCUCAUGCUCAUGCUCAUGCUCAUCCUCAUCCUCAUCCUCACAUCAUCCUCAUCCACAUCCUCAUCCUCAUCCUUAUCCUCAUCCUCAUCCUAAACCGCAUCCUAUUCCUAACCUUACUCCUAACCCUAAUCCUAACCUUAAUCCUGACACUAUUCCUAAUCCUAAUCCUCGUUCUCAUUCUGAUCCUCAUCCUCAUCCUCAUCCUGAUCCUCAUGCUCAUCCCCAACGUCACCCUCAUCCACAUCCUCAUCCUCACCCUCAUCAUCAUCCUCAUCCUCAUCCUAAAUGUCAACCUCAUCCCCAUCCCCAUCCUCAUCCUCAUCCCCAUCCCCAUCCUCAUCCUCAUCCUCAUCCUCAUCCUCAUCCUCAUCCUCAACCUCAUCCUCAUCCUCAUCCUCAUCCUCAUCCUCAUCCUCAUCCUCAUCCUCAUCCUCAUCCUCAUCCUAAUCNNNNNNNNNNNNNNNNNNNNNNNNNNNNNNNNNNNNNNNNNNNNNNNNNNNNNNNNNNNNNNNNNNNNNNNNNNNNNNNNNNNNNNNNNNNNNNNNNNNNUCCUAAUCCUAAUCCUCAUCCUAAUCCUAAUCCGAACUUAUUCCUAUUCCUAUUCCUAAUUCUAAUCCUCAUCCUAAUGCAAAUCCUAUUCCUAAUCCUAAUAUG